rnacentral:rRNA from 1 species
AUACGUAGGGGGCGAGCGUUGUCCGGAAUGAUUGGGCGUAAAGGGCGCGUAGGCGGCGCGGUAAGUCUGGAGUGAAAGUCCUGCUUUCAAGGUGGGAAUUGCUUUGGAUACUGCCGCGCUUGAGUGCAGGAGAGGUUAUCGGAAUUCCCGGUGUAGCGGCGAAAUGCAUAGAUAUGACGAAGAACACCGAUUGCGUAGGCAGCUGACCAGACCGCAAAUGACGCUCAUGCACGAAAGUGCGGGGAUCGAACAGGAUUAGAUACCCUGGUAGUCCGCACAGUAAACGAUGAAUACUUGUUUUCGGCGAUAUAAUGUCGGAGGCAAAGCGAAAGCGAUAAGUAUUCCACCUGGGGAGUACGCCGGCAACGGUGAAACUCAAAGGAAUUGACGGGG